UCGCAAGGAAUUGAAUCUGUUGUUGCUGCAUCAAGUUCCCCUUGGUACACUGUAUGUGGUUGUGUCCUUCCUCUACAAGUAUGGGCAGUAGAGAUAUUACCGGCCCUACAAGA